rnacentral:rRNA from 1 species
UACGGGGGGGGCAAGCGUUGUUCGGAAUUACUGGGCGUAAAGGGCUCGUAGGCGGCCAACUAAGUCAGACGUGAAAUCCCUCGGCUUAACCGGGGAACUGCGUCUGAUACUGGAUGGCUCGAGAUUGGGAGAGGGAUGCGGAAUUCCAGGUGUAGCGGUGAAAUGCGUAGAUAUCUGGAGGAACACCGGUGGCGAAGGCGGCAUCCUGGACCAACACUGACGCUGAGGAGCGAAAGCCAGGGGAGCAAAGCGGG